rnacentral:rRNA from 1 species
UACAGAGGGUGCAAGCGUUAAUCGGAAUUACUGGGCGUAAAGCGCACGCAGGCGGUUGGUUAAGUCAGAUGUGAAAGCCCCGGGCUCAACCUGGGAAUUGCAUUUGAAACUGGCCAACUAGAGUAUGUGAGAGGGGGGUAGAAUUCCAAGUGUAGCGGUGAAAUGCGUAGAGAUUUGGAGGAAUACCAGUGGCGAAGGCGGCCCCCUGGCACGAUACUGACGCUCAGGUGCGAAAGCGUGGGGAGCAAACAGG